rnacentral:rRNA from 1 species
AUUGAACGCUGGCGGCAGGCCUAACACAUGCAAGUCGAACGAGUGGCGGACGGGUGAGUAAUGUCUGGGACACUCCCUGAUGGAGGGGUAUAACUACUGGAAACGGUAUCUAAUCCCGUAUACCCUCGGAUGUGCCCAUAUGGGAUUAGCUAGUAGGUGGGGUAACGGCUCACCUAGGCGACGCUCCCUAGCUGGUCUGAGAGGAUGACCAGCCACACUGGAACUGAGACACGGCCCAGACUCCUACGGGAGGCAGCAGUGGGGAAUAUUGCACAAUGGGCGCAAGCCUGAUGCAGCCAUGCCGCGUGUAUGAAGAAGGCCUUCGGGUUGUAAAGUACUUUCAGCGGGGAGGCGUUACCCGCAGAAGAAGCACCGGCUAACUCCGUGCCAGCAGCCGCGGUAAUAC